rnacentral:lncRNA from 1 species
CAGUACCUCAAGUAAGUCACUCUAUGAUGAAAAUUACCGUUUGAUAACGUACGUAUGAAACUACCCUUUCGCCAUUUCUGAGAGAAACUUGAGGCAAACCUUAGAAAUUUGAGUUUUUAAGAAUAGUCGUAAUAGUUAGCUAAUUUUGCUACGGUUAGAUCGUAUAUUUGUUAUUCCUGCAAGGAUUAUAGGAUCCUUACUGUCAACUAACAACCAUGAAGACCAUUGGAAAGGAUAUGUAACGUUGGUUGUCACCGGAAGUACUAAACAACGUAAGGUCUCGCGAUGUGCCAUGACCUACUUACGGGCCGUAUUUUCACUGGUCCUCUGUGUUGGCAGCUGUACCCACUUUUAGCAGUACAAACAUGUUUACUAAGUUUUAAAGUUUCUGUUGGUUGUAUUUAGUUCCAAUUAGGCACCAUUGAAUCAUUUAAAAGUAGUUUAAAAUUGUCGUGUCGCAAACACCACUCGCUAAUGAGCCAUCGUUUGAUUGUUUACUUGUCAGCACUGUCUUGGACUGGUAUGAAAUUCAAAGGCUGACAUGAACAGGUUAUGAAAUCAAUACAAGUGUGAAAUAUAUGCACCUUGAUGAUGGCAGAUUCAAAAUGGUCAUGACCAAUACUUUGAACUUGCACCGAAACAUGACAUUCACUGACAUAGAUAAUUAACAUUCAUACCUGAUGUUCAUCAUUUGAAGAGUGUAUGGAGUUUCUCUGUGAUGAAAAUUGGAAUUACCGUUUGAUAUACAUGAAACUAUCCUAACGGCAUUUAUUUCUGAGAGAAACAAACCAUCGCUAUUUUUCUAUUUACCAUGAUAUCGAAUUAAUUUCCAUUUCAGCAAUGUAUGAGAAGUGAGUGGUUUCAUAGCAACCAAAGUGGUAACAAUUUUAAAUGAGUUUUAAUUAUUCUGUGACAAAAACCAACUGACAGGAGUUACAAUCCAGGCAAAGGAAGUGUAUCGUACAGCGAAAGUGUAUGUUGUAGAACUAAGACACGUCAUGAUGCAACUUGUUACUGUUUUCAGCAGUUAUACGUAUUUCUUGGCGAACAGUUUCUAGGCGUCUGACUUUGAGUGCUGGCGAUUAGGUGCCUGACUCUGAGGGUGCGGGUUCGAAUCCCGGAUGGGACUCAACCCCAAAAGUACUAGAAUCUGUAAUUUACUAAGAAAGUGUAAUCCAUAAAUAUAACAUAUGCUAACUUUGACCACUUUCUAAAAUGGCAUUGUGUAUUUCAGACAUUGCUAAACAGAAAAAACGCAUCAAAAUCGCACGUUUAUUUAACUAAGGGACCGUUCAUAAUUUAUGGCUAGGAGGGUGAUGGUUUUUAUGGAGAAGCAUAACCCAAUCCCUAAAAUGUGUGGACAAAGAUACCCCCCUGCAUGUCAUGUACAAAAUCAAUGGGGGAUAAGAGGUCUGCCCGUAAUCCCCGCUUGAAAUGUCCAAGUGUAAGCUGGUGAUGUACCCCCGAGGUAAUGCGAGAUGGAGAGCUAAACGUCUGCUUCAGUCUCGUUCCUCGCAGUCUCGUUCGUCGAUACAAGGCCAAUAGAAAUACCACUUGGCACUUAUGGUGACGUUUUGCCCCAAACAAUCGGGUUCGAGUCCAUCCCCGUAGUGACCGGCGCCCGCUUUGCCAUUGUUCUCGAAUAUGUCAUGCUUCUUGCAAAUUUCGUGCAAUUCAAACAUCGGACAACUGCAAGGUUGCAUUUUACAUUUUCUCCGGUACAAAUCCAAAACAUCUCACACAAGAUUACCAAUAAAACACUUGUCACAACGUUUUCCUCUGUAUAUAUAUCACGUUUCUGUCAUUUCAUAUUGGGCAAAUGCUCGAAAAUAUCUGAGUGAAUAAUGGAAUCUGGACCAGACAAUCAAGUAAUCGACAGCAUGAGCAUCGAUCUUCGCUCUUGGGAACCGAUGAGUGGCGGCCUAGUCGACGACCCUGACUACCCGUGCAACAAGUAUGGGUUACUGAAGAUCAAUUCUAACCCGGAUCUUCACGGGUCCGAAACUAUCGAAGGUGAUGUGCACCAGAAUGAGGCAGAUGUCUACUCUUGAGUAGAAGAUGGAAUAUGUACUUGAUUCCGACUGCAUUUUCAGUGUGCCUCUGUCUCCACAAUUCCAUGUAUGAAACUGUCAUAUCUCCCCCAAAACGACCAGGUUCAAGAGCGUGCUUUUGGCGAAGUUUCGACUGGUCUCCAGUGUCGUCUCCUUCCUCGAAAUGAACGUUUGGAAAAGGACAGCUUCUAUCCGUAUUUCACUUUGAAGUGAAGAGAAGAACCGAAUUCACUUUGUGGUCCUGGGACAUUUUCAUAAGGCGAGUUGAAAUGGAUAUACUGGAUCAUGUGGACCCGUGAAGAUCCUGGUUAGAAUUGAUCUUCAGUAACUCAUGCUUGUAAGAGGCGACUAACGGGAUUGGGUGGUCAGGCUCGCUGACUUGACAAUUGCGUGGAUCGAUGCCCAUGCUGUUGAUCAUUGGAUUGUCCGGUCAAGACUCGAUUAUAUACAGACCGCCGUCAUAUAUCUGGAAUAUUGCUGAGUAAACCUAGGCUAUUCGUUUCGUACUGACAAUUUGUUGCAUUUUCACUCCGAUAUUUAUUGAUAAUCGAUUGAUAUUUAGUAAGAUUAUCGAUGAGUGAUCUAUAUCGAUGGCCAGCCCUAUUUGUAAGCAACCGAUUUCGCUGUUGUAAGAAUGACGCAGGUCAUCACGGCGAGGCAGGUCAUAUGUAUAGGUGGGUGAGUAUUCGUAUCGUCACAACCGUGGACAAUGUUUGUGUAUACACCGAUACAUGUUCGUAUGUGGGCGUGGGGAGGUUGAAGGAAUGGCUGAAUUGAGGUCGGUUGUCACAUGGAAUAUUGCUGGGUGCGGCGUAAAAUCAAACUCACUCUUACUCAUGCAUAAA